rnacentral:rRNA from 1 species
GAUGAACGCUGGCGGCGUGCCUAAUACAUGCAAGUCGAGCGAACGGACGAGAAGCUUGCUUCUCUGAUGUUAGCGGCGGACGGGUGAGUAACACGUGGAUAACCUACCUAUAAGACUGGGAUAACUUCGGGAAACCGGAGCUAAUACCGGAUGAUAUUUUGAACCGCAUGGUUCAAAAGUGAAAGACGGUCUUGCUGUCACUUAUAGAUGGAUCCGCGCUGCAUUAGCUAGUUGGUAAGGUAACGGCUUACCAAGGCAACGAUGCAUAGCCGACCUGAGAGGGUGAUCGGCCACACUGGAACUGAGACACGGUCCAGACUCCUGCGGGAGGCAGCAGUAGGGAAUCUUCCACAAUGGGCGAAAGCCUGACGGAGCAACGCCGCGUGAGUGAUGAAGGUCUUCGGAUCGUAAAACUCUGUUAUUAGGGAAGAACAUAUGUGUAAGUAACUGUGCACAUCUUGACGGUACCUAAUCAGAAAGCCACGGCUAACUACGUG